UACAGAGGGUGCGAGCGUUAAUCGGAUUUACUGGGCGUAAAGCGUGCGUAGGCGGCUUUUUAAGUCGGUUGUGAAAGCCCCGGGCUUAACGUGGGAAUUGCAUUCGAUACUGGGAAGCUAGAGUAUGGGAGAGGCUGGUAGAAUUCCAGGUGUAGCGGUGAAAUGCGUAGAGAUUUGGAGGAAUACCGAUGGCGAAGGCAGCCAUCUGGCCUAAUACUGACGCUGAGGUGCGAAAGCGUGGGGAGCAAACAGG
rnacentral:misc_RNA from 1 species